rnacentral:rRNA from 1 species
UACAGAGGUGGCAAGCGUUGUUCGGAAUCACUGGGCGUAAAGGGCGCGUAGGCGGCCUGUUAAGUCGAACGUGAAAUCCCCGGGCUCAACCCGGGAACUGCGUCCGAUACUGGCAGGCUUGAAUCCGGGAGAGGGAUGCGGAAUUCCAGGUGUAGCGGUGAAAUGCGUAGAUAUCUGGAGGAACACCGGUGGCGAAGGCGGCAUCCUGGACCGGCAUUGACGCUGAGGCGCGAAAGCCAGGGGAGCAAACGGG